UCCGGGAUCGUCUAAUGGCAGGACGUGAGGUUCUGGUCCUCAAAAUCGGGGUUCGAGUCCCUGUCCCGGAA
rnacentral:tRNA from 2 species